rnacentral:pre_miRNA from 1 species
ACACAAACUAUUUGACAAACAUUUUACAAACUGCUGAUGUAGCAUAUUCCACUUCAACAUAUUGUGUUGGACCGAAGACUAUAUUGAAACAAUUUGUUGAUCAAUACGCUGAGGUGGAGUAUGCCACAUCAGCAGUUUAUAAAAUAUUUAUAAAAUAGUUUGUGU